GACGAACGCUGGCGGCGUGCUUAACACAUGCAAGUCGUACGGUAAGGCCCUUUCGGGGGUACACGAGUGGCGAACGGGUGAGUAACACGUGAGUAACCUGCCCACAACUUUGGGAUAACGCUAGGAAACUGGUGCUAAUACUGGAUAUGUUCUCCUGCUGCAUGGUGGGGGUUGGAAAGCUCCGGCGGUUGUGGAUGGACUCGCGGCCUAUCAGCUUGUUGGUGGGGUAGUGGCCUACCAAGGCGGCGACGGGUAGCCGGCCUGAGAGGGUGACCGGCCACAUUGGGACUGAGAGACGGCCCAGACUCCUACGGGAGGCAGCAGUGGGGAAUAUUGAACAAUGGGCGCAAGCCUGAUGCAGCAACGCCGCGUGCGGGAUGACGGCCUUCGGGUUGUAAACCGCUUUCAGCAGGGACGAAGCUUUUUGUGACGGUACCUGCAGAAGAAGCACCGGCUAACUACGUG
rnacentral:rRNA from 1 species